rnacentral:piRNA from 1 species
UGUUAGACAUCUUUUUUGAAGGGUCAUAA